rnacentral:rRNA from 1 species
CUACGGGGCGCUGCAGUGGGGAAUUUUGCGCAAUGGGGGCAACCCUGACGCAGCGAUACCGCGUGAGUGAAGAAGGCCUUUGGGUCGUAAAGCUCUUUUAUAAGGGAAGAUAGUGACGGUACCUUAUGAAUAAGCACCGGCUAACUCCGUGCCAGCAGCCGCGGUAAUACGGAGGGUGCGAGCGUUGUUCGGAUUUACUGGGCGUAAAGGGCGCGUAGGCGGCUUAACAAGUUAAGGGUGAAAUCCCGGGGCUUAACCCCGGAACUGCUCUUAAGACUGUUAGGCUAGAGAUGGUCAGAGGCGGGUGGAAUUCCAGGUGUAGAGGUGAAAUUCGUAGAUAUCUGGAGGAACACCGGAGGCGAAGGCGGCCCGCUGGGGCCAUUCUGACGCUGAGGCGCGAAAGCGUGGGGAGCGAACGGGAUUAGAUACCCUGGUAGUC